rnacentral:rRNA from 1 species
UACGUAGGCAGCAAGCGUUGUUCGGAGUUACUGGGCGUAAAGAGUGCGUAGGCGGUCCUCUAAGUUUGGUGUGAAAUCUCCCGGCUCAACCGGGAGGGUGCGCCGAAAACUGGAGGGCUCGAGUGUGGGAGAGGUAAGCGGAAUUCCUGGUGUAGCGGUGAAAUGCGUAGAUAUCAGGAGGAACACCCUGUGGUGUAGACGGCUUACUGGACCAUUACUGACGCUGAGGCACGAAAGCGUGGGUAGCAAACAGG